GCGCACGUAGCUCAGUUGGCAGAGCGGUGGGACGGUACCCCACGGUCCCGGGUUAAAGUCCCGGCGGUCGCU